rnacentral:rRNA from 1 species
GGAUAACCUGCCCUUGGGUCCGGCAUAACCCCGGGAAACUGGGGAUAAUUCCGGAUAACGCACAUAUGCUGGAAUGCUUUCUGCGUAAAAUGGAUUCGUCUGCCCAAGGAUGGGUCUGCGGCCUAUCAGGUAGUAGUGGGUGUAAUGUACCUACUAGCCUACGACGGGUACGGGUUGUGAGAGCAAGAGCCCGGAGAUGGAUUCUGAGACAUGAAUCCAGGCCCUACGGGGCGCAGCAGGCGCGAAAACUUUACAAUGCGGGAAACCGUGAUAAGGGGACACCGAGUGCCAGCGUCAUACGCUGGCUGUCCAGGUGUGUAAAAUACACCUGUUAGCAAGGGCCGGGCAAGACCGGUGCCAGCCGCCGCGGUAACACCGGCGGCCCGAGUGGUGAUCGUGAUUAUUGGGUCUAAAGGGUCCGUAGCCGGUUUGGUCAGUCCUCCGGGAAAUCUGAUAGCUCAACUAUUAGGCUUUCGGAGGAUACUGCCAGACUUGGAACCGGGAGAGGUAAGAGGUACUACAGGGGUAGGAGUGAAAUCUUGUAAUCCCUGUGGGACCACCUGUGGCGAAGGCGUCUUACCAGAACGGGUUUCGACGGUGAGGGACGAAAGCUGGGGGCACGAACCGGAUUAGAUACCCGGGUAGUCCCAGCCGUAAACGAUGCUCGCUAGGUGUCAGGCAUGGCGCGACCGUGUCUGGUGCCGCAGGGAAGCCGUGAAGCGAGCCACCUGGGAAGUACGGCCGCAAGGCUGAGACUUAA